rnacentral:rRNA from 1 species
GAUGAACGCUGGCGGCGUGCCUAAUACAUGCAAGUCGAGCGAACGGACGAGAAGCUUGCUUCUCUGAUGUUAGCGGCGGACGGGUGAGUAACACGUGGAUAACCUGCCUAUAAGACUGGGAUAACUUCGGGAAACCGGAGCUAAUACCGGAUAAUAUUUUGAACCGCAUGGUUCAAAAGUAAAAGACGGUCUUGCUGUCACUUAUAGAUGGAUCCGCGCUGCAUUAGCUAGUUGGUAAGGUAACGGCUUACCAAGGCAACGAUGCAUAGCCGACCUGAGAGGGUGAUCGGCCACACUGGAACUGAGACACGGUCCAGACUCCUACGGGAGGCAGCAGUAGGGAAUCUUCCGCAAUGGGCGAAAGCCUGACGGAGCAACGCCGCGUGAGUGAUGAAGGUCUUCGGAUCGUAAAACUCUGUUAUUAGGGAAGAACAUAUGUGUAAGUAACUGUGCACAUCUUGACGGUACCUAAUCAGAAAGCCACGGCUAACUACGUGCCAGCAGCCGCGGUAAUACGUAGGUGGCAAGCGUUAUCCGGAAUUAUUGGGCGUAAAGCGCGCGUAGGCGGUUUUUUAAGUCUGAUGUGAAAGCCCACGGCUCAACCGUGGAGGGUCAUUGGAAACUGGAAAACUUGAGUGCAGAAGAGGAAAGUGGAAUUCCAUGUGUAGCGGUGAAAUGCGCAGAGAUAUGGAGGAACACCAGUGGCGAAGGCGACUUUCUGGUCUGUAACUGACGCUGAUGUGCGAAAGCGUGGGGAUCAAACAGGAUUAGAUACCCUGGUAGUCCACGCCGUAAACGAUGAGUGCUAAGUGUUAGGGGGUUUCCGCCCCUUAGUGCUGCAGCUAACGCAUUAAGCACUCCGCCUGGGGAGUACGACCGCAAGGUUGAAACUCAAAGGAAUUGACGGGGACCCGCACAAGCGGUGGAGCAUGUGGUUUAAUUCGAAGCAACGCGAAGAACCUUACCAAAUCUUGACAUCCUUUGACAACUCUAGAGAUAGAGCCUUCCUCUUCGGGGGACAAAGUGACAGGUGGUGCAUGGUUGUCGUCAGCUCGUGUCGUGAGAUGUUGGGUUAAGUCCCGCAACGAGCGCAACCCUUAAGCUUAGCUGCCAUCAUUAAGUUGGGCACUCUAAGUUGACUGCCGGUGACAAACCGGAGGAAGGUGGGGAUGACGUCAAAUCAUCAUGCCCCUUAUGAUUUGGGCUACACACGUGCUACAAUGGACAAUACAAAGGGCAGCGAAACCGCGAGGUCAAGCAAAUCCCAUAAAGUUGUUCUCAGUUCGGAUUGUAGUCUGCAACUCGACUACAUGAAGCUGGAAUCGCUAGUAAUCGUAGAUCAGCAUGCUACGGUGAAUACGUUCCCGGGUCU